UCUCCGUUGGUGAACCAGCGGAGGGAUCAUUACCGAGUUUACAACUCCCAAACCCAAUGUGAACCAUACCAAACUGUUGCCUCGGCGGGGUCACGCCCCGGGUGCGUCGCAGCCCCGGAACCAGGCGCCCGCCGUAGGGACCAACCAAACUCUUUCUGUAGUCCCCUCGCGGACGUUAUUUUUACAGCUCUGAGCAAAAAUUCAAAAUGAAUCAAAACUUUCAACAACGGAUCUCUUGGUUCUG
rnacentral:misc_RNA from 1 species